rnacentral:lncRNA from 10 species
CAGUGGUGCAAUCCCAGCUCACUGCAACCUCCGCCUCUCAGGUUCAAGUGAUUCUCCUACUUCACCCUCCCAAGUAGCUAGGAUUACAGGCACAUGCCACCAUGCCAGGCAGCUCUGAAUUUCCUUUGUUUGUUUGCUUUCUGAGUUGGGGUCCUCGUUCUGUCACCUAGGCUGGAGCGGACUGGCUGGAGAAGUUAUGGAAGGGAUAUUCUGCAAGAUGAGGACAACUGAUUAUCAGAAGAAGGAAUGAGAACAUGAUCCUGCUUCUCUAGGUGGAUGAAACACAAACAAGAAAGGCAACGUCAGCAUGAACAUGGAGGAGGACGUCUUCGAGGGAGAGCUGGCAGGGUGGGCAAGUUCAAGAAAGAGAACCAUUCCGUGAAAGAGCACUUCUUCUACCAGCAGGUCUAGCACAGACCCGAUGUGUAUCCUGUAGCCUCAAGCUGUCCAGAAAGCUGCCAUCAGCCCUCCCUGAUGUGGGGUGCCGGCUGUCCGGGCUGAGCCACCAAUGCACAAGACACACCCUGGCCCAAAGUGCAUCACUAAGAGCCUCUCACAUUCUUCUGCUUCAAACAGGACCCAGGAGUACCGACUGAGGCAUUCGCCACCUUUAUUUACAGAACAGAUUUUGUCCAGCUUAGGAGUCAUCAGAUAAAGGAAGAAAACAUCUCAUUACAAAGUAGAAUUUCCCUGGAGACUCUCGGUCCCCAUAAAGGUGGUGGUCCUAGGGGGCAACAGAGACAAACUUCAGCAUCAGCAUUUUGACCUCCUUAGGAAAGCUGCUUGAGAGAGUCCAUACUCAGGUAUAAAACUUUCAAGGACAAAUUUAAGGAAAAUGGAAAACUAUUUCUACUUGUGGCUUCCUUACCAAGAACUUUCUCCUUUACAAGAAAAUGACUGCAUUCUGAUGGGAUCUGUGUGUUAAUAGUGAGACAAAAGUAUAAUCACCAUUUUUCAGAGACCCCUGUGGACUUUGACAAUGAGGUGCCAUGGGAGAUGGGCUAUUUUUCUCACAGUAGAGUCCCAAUAGGUGCUUUAUUUUGAAAUGUUCUGCUUACUAUUUUUAAUUAAAAAUACUGUUUACUUUCCUAUUACUACCUUUUUUGUGUUGAAUUUGGAAAAAAAAUACAAUAGACUCAAAGAAGAAAAUCAAAUCACC